CAGUUAGUAUAUUUUUUUGAUAUACUUUUGGUUAUUUCUUCCAUCAUCACUAGGGUUGCCUUCGCCGUCCGUUUCCCUCUUCAUGCGCGUCUCUUUCUCUAGGGUUUUUUCCAUCGUCUAUAAAUAUAUACAUACGUACCUGCAUGUGAUAGUUUCCCAAGCCUAUAGCUGCCGCAAACCUUCCACGGCAGUCUCCACCCUCCACAACCUCCAUGCAGUCACCGUCCCUGUCUCUGAACCUCCGCACCCACGGCGUUAGACCUCGCCUGCAGCUUAGUUGCAAGACCUCACCAUCACAAAAAACCCACGCCCGUGUGCGCUCAACGACGGAAGCCACUGGCCAUUGCCCAACCCCAUGUGAAACCGUAAGCCAGCCCAGCCGUGAACGUACGUGGAGCCACCGCUGGCCAUCACCUAAAAGGGACCUCUGUUUUUGCUCCCCAAACAGAGCAUCUACCACAACCUCUGGCCAGCCACCGUACCCCAGCCCUGUAACCACCGUGUAAGAAAGCCACCACGUCACCUGCAGUCACACGGUGAGCCUCUGUUUUUCGCAAAAAAAAAAAACAGAACAAUCCACAUACAGCAAACUCCUUCACAUCGAAGCUGCAGCAAGCCACUGUGUAGCUCCUCCACUGCACUGCUUUUGCACCACCAUAGCAGGCUCACGGUGACCUUUCCGCACGGUGUACGUAUUAUAUGCUCGUUGGGACCGGAGCAUUAAAAAAUUUGUAAGGGAAGCUUUGCACGUAGGGUACCGAUUGUGAAGAUUUGAAGUGGAGAGAAGGUUGUGUGCAAACUAGGGUAGCCAAUUAUGGGAUUUGAAGACUAAGAAGUUGGUGAACCAAGAACGGAAGGGAGAAGGCCGGUGUGAAGAAAUGAGGAGUGGAAAAUGGGUUAAAAUCUCACGACAAAAGAGUUGACACUGUGAGAGAACACUGAGAAGGGUGGAGCUUGUAGGCGAUGAAAAUGGAGUCUGUUGGUGCAAUGGGUCGAAGUGCAGAAGGGUGGUCAUGUGUCGAUGUGGGCAAACAUGGGGGGAAAUAAGUUGGGGGGAAAUGAAAGGCAUAGUGGCUUUUGGCGCCCCUUUCGCUCCUAUCUUGACAAAAAUCACAGCGUUGCCAAAAUAAUUUUAUGUUGCGACGUUGUAAUUUGUCCUAAAACCCACUAUAAAUUGUCACUAGGGUUGUAACUGGUCCGGUUUGGUUUGGUUUUGGAUAAAAUUUAGGAUUGAAACAGUAUCCAUCAGUUUUGCAUUUUUCAAAACCGAUUACGCACUAGUUAUCCCCUUAAACCGGUACUCCGGUUUUACCA